rnacentral:rRNA from 1 species
UACGUAGGGUGCGAGCGUUGUCCGGAUUUAUUGGGCGUAAAGGGCUCGUAGGCGGCGUGUCGCGUCGGGAGUGAAAGCCCGUUGCUUAACGGCGGGUUGGCUUUCGGUACGGGCAUGCUGGAGUGCGGCAGGGGAGACUGGAAUUCCUGGUGUAGCGGUGAAAUGCGCAGAUAUCAGGAGGAACACCGGUGGCGAAGGCGGGUCUCUGGGCCGAUAUUGACGUGAGGAGCGAAAGCGUGGGGAGCGAACAGG